rnacentral:rRNA from 1 species
CGAGUCUGCCUUGAAGAUCGGAGUGCUUGCACUCUGUGAAACAAGAUACAGGCUAGCGGCGGACGGGUGAGUAACACGUGGGUAACCUGCCCAAGAGAUCGGGAUAACACCUGGAAACAGAUGCUAAUACCGGAUAACAACAGAUGAUGCCUAUCAACUGUUUAAAAGAUGGUUCUGCUAUCACUCUUGGAUGGACCUGCGGUGCAUUAGCUAGUUGGUAGGGUAACGGCCUACCAUGGCGAUGAUGCAUAGCCGGGUUGAGAGACUGAUCGGCCACAUUGGGACUGAGACACGGCCCAAACUCCUACGGGAGGCAGCAGUAGGGAAUCUUCCACAAUGGACGCAAGUCUGAUGGAGCAACGCCGCGUGAGUGAAGAAGGGUUUCGGCUCGUAAAGCUCUGUUGUUGGUGAG